CCGGCGCACGGGUGAGUAACACGUAUCCAACCUGCCGUCUACUCUUGGACAGCCUUCUGAAAGGAAGAUUAAUACAAGAUGGCAUCAUGAGUCCGCAUGUUCACAUGAUUAAAGGUAUUCCGGUAGACGAUGGGGAUGCGUUCCAUUAGAUAGUAGGCGGGGUAACGGCCCACCUAGUCUUCGAUGGAUAGGGGUUCUGAGAGGAAGGUCCCCCACAUUGGAACUGAGACACGGUCCAAACUCCUACGGGAGGCAGCAGUGAGGGGUAUUGGUCAAUGGGCGAGAGCCUGAACCAGCCAAGUAGCGUGAAGGAUGACUGCCCUAUGGGUUGUAAACUUCUUUUAUAAAGGAAUAAAGUCGGGUAUGCAUACCCGUUUGCAUGUACUUUAUGAAUAAGGAUCGGCUAACUCCGUGCCAGCAGCCGCGGUAAUACGGAGGAUCCGAGCGUUAUCCGGAUUUAUUGGGUUUAAAGGGAGCGUAGAUGGAUGUUUAAGUCAGUUGUGAAAGUUUGCGGCUCAACCGUAAAAUUGCAGUUGAUACUGGAUAUCUUGAGUGCAGUUGAGGCAGGCGGAAUUCGUGGUGUAGCGGUGAAAUGCUUAGAUAUCACGAAGAACUCCGAUUGCGAAGGCAGCCUGCUAAGCUGCAACUGACAUUGAGGCUCGAAAGUGUGGGUAUCAAACAGGAUUAGAUACCCUGGUAGUCCACGCAGUAAACGAUGAUUACUAGGAGUUUGCGAUAGACAGUAAGCUCUACAGCGAAAGCGUUAAGUAAUCCACCUGGGGAGUACGCCGGCAACGGUGAAACUCAAAGGAAUUGACGGGGGCCCGCACAAGCGGAGGAACAUGUGGUUUAAUUCGAUGAUACGCGAGGAACCUUACCCGGGUUUGAACGUAGUUUGACAGGGGUGGAAACACUUUUUCUAGCAAUAGCAAAUUACGAGGUGCUGCAUGGUUGUCGUCAGCUCGUGCCGUGAGGUGUCGGCUUAAGUGCCAUAACGAGCGCAACCCUUAUCACUAGUUACUAACAGGUAUAGCUGAGGACUCUGGUGAGACUGCCAGCGUAAGCUGUGAGGAAGGUGGGGAUGACGUCAAAUCAGCACGGCCCUUACAUCCGGGGCGACACACGUGUUACAAUGGCAUGGACAAAGGGCAGCUACCUGGCGACAGGAUGCUAAUCUCCAAACCAUGUCUCAGUUCGGAUCGGAGUCUGCAACUCGACUCCGUGAAGCUGGAUUCGCUAGUAAUCGCGCAUCAGCCAUGGCGCGGUGAAUACGUUCCCGGGUCUUGCACUCACCGCCCGUCAAG
rnacentral:rRNA from 1 species